AGUGAACGCUGGCGAUAGGCCUAACACAUGCAAGUCGAACGGCAGCACAGUAAGAGCUUGCUCUUACGGGUGGCGAGUGGCGGACGGGUGAGGAAUACAUCGGCAUCUACUUUUUCGUGGGGGAUAACGUAGGGAAACUUCCGCUAAUACCUCAUACGACCUACGGGUUAAAUCAGUGGAUCUUCGCACCUUGCGCGAUUGAAUGAGCCGAUGUCGGAUUAGCUAGUUGGCGGGGUAAAGGCCCACCAAGGCGACGAUCCGUAGCUGGUCUGAGAGGAUGAUCAGCCACACUGGAACUGAGACACGGGCCAGACUCCUACGGGAGGCAGAAGUGGGGAAUAUUGGACAAAGGGCGCAAGACUGAUACAGCCAUACCGCGUGGGUGAAGAAGGCCUUCGGGUUGUAAAGACCUUUUGUAGGGAAAGAAAAGCAGCAGGUUAAUACCCCGCUGUUCUGACGGUACCCAAAGAAUAAGCACCGGCUAACUUCGUG
rnacentral:rRNA from 1 species